UGUGUGUGUGUGUAUGUUUACCCGGAAGAAUAUAUAUGUUAAUGAUGUAUAUUAAUCAUGAGGUCUCAUUCAUUCCCAUGUACAGUAUUGUGGUAUCUAAUACUGUUUGACCUUUCAACUUUUGCGAGUUAGCCAAUGAUAUCUCCGGCAAAUAAAAACCGUCCGAGAUUGAGAAAUUUACUGUGGAGGAUGUACACAAUGUGACAACAACAAUCUACAGGUUUGAAAUUGGUGACAGACAAAAACUAUAUACUUUAAAAAAGAGUAGACAGUUAGCAUUGCACAAUUCCAUAACAUCCUUUUAGACAACCAGUGAUACCAUAACAGAAUGGGGAACAUAUUUUCAUCCUGUAAGAAAAUCGACAUUUCGGAUCAGUCAUUACCUCAAGUACAGAGUCGUCAAACCAGGGCACCUAAAAGUGACACUUACAUUGAGCCAUUCAGAAUGCCUAGUACUGACUCGGGAUUCAGAAGCCUACAAGAUCACGUUUAUGGGGCAAAAUUCAUUGCUGAAAAU